UCGGAGUAUUUCAAGCAUGGCGCAAUAUGUUCUGUCAUGCUAGGAAUCCUCUGAGA
rnacentral:pre_miRNA from 1 species